rfam:Candidatus Thrbacteria bacterium RIFCSPLOWO2_02_FTLL_48_18 rifcsplowo2_02_scaffold_23, whole genome shotgun sequence.
UGUAGAGCAUAUUAAUAAGAGUAUACGAAGGAUGGCUUGACAGAACAUGCCGACGAAGGACGUAGUAGCCUGCGAAAAGCUUCGGGGAGGUGGCAAACAACCUUUGAUCCGAAGAUAUCCGAAUGGGGCAACCCAAUGCGGUUCAUACCGCAUUACUUUGCAAUCAAUACAUAGUUGCAAGGAGGGCACCUGGUGAAGUGAAACAUCUCAGUAGCCAGAGGAAAAGAAAAAACAAUUUCGUUUAACGUUUUCAUGCGGCCAGUCGGGUUUACCCGACAGCACGUCGUAUGGAAACGCGAAACGAAUAGAUUCCCUUAGUAGUGGCGAGCGAAAAGGGAACAGCUCAAACCUCUCUCGUGAAGUGUUUGUAAGCAUGGAGUCGCAAGACUGUGUGUGAAUGGAUGCGAAAGAUUGAAGUCGUUGCGAGAGAUAGGUGUUGUAAGACGGUAGUGUCGUUUUCUUCAAAAAACGGAUAAUGAAAUCCAUGUAAUAUAUAGGGGAAGUGACUGGAACGUCACACCAUAGAAGGUGAAAGUCCUGUACGCGAAAUAUAUUACGUCAUUAUGAUUACUGUUCUUGAGUACUACGGGACUCGUGAAAUCCUGUAGGAAUCUGCCGGGACUAUCUGGCAAAGCUAAAUACAUGUUCUGAUCGAUAGUGUACAAGUACCGUGAGGGAAAGCUGAAAAGCACCCCGGAAGGGGAAUGAAAUAGUAUCUGAAAUCGUAUACUUACAAGGAGUCAGCGCCCCUCGAAGCCGCAAGGCGGAGAGUGGGUCAUGGCGUUCCUAUUGAAGAAUGAGCCAACGAGUGUGUUGUGCGUCGCUUGGUUAAGUCCUCCGGGACGAAGCCAUAGUGAAAGCGAGCGUUAAUCCGCGAAAUAUUGGUGGCGCGCACAUAACCCGAAACCGGGUGACCUAUCCAUGACCAGGCUGAAGCGAAUGUAACAGUUCGUGGAGGGCCGAACCCACGUGCCGUGCAAAACACGGGGAUGAGUUGUGGAUAGCGGAGAAAUUCCAAUCGAACUCGGUAAUAGCUGGUUCUCUCCGAGAUAGCUUUUGGGCUAGCGUCGGUAAAUAAUGUGUUGGGGGUAGAGCACUGAAUCGAGUUUGCGCCUUCGGGUAGCGACUCUAAUCAAACUCCGAAUACCAACAUGUGUUCCCGGCAGUCAGACGAUGGGGGCUAAGCUCCAUACGUCGAAAGGGAAACAGCCCAGAUCUCAAGCUAAGGCCCCAAAAUCAUCAUUAAGUGUAAAAGGUGGUGGAAAGACUUAAACAACCAGGAGGUUGGCUUAGAAGCAGCCAUCCUUUAAAGAUAGCGUAAUAGCUCACUGGUCAAGUUUUUCUGCGCCGAAAAUGUACCGGGGCUAAAUGAUGUGCCGAAGCUGAGGGUUUAACAUUUUUAAAUGUUAAGCGGUAGGAGAGCAUUCGUAUUGCGCUGAAGCCAAAGGGGUGACCCAUGGUGGAGCGAUGCGAAGGGAGAAUGUUGGCAUGAGUAGCAAAAAGACGGGUGAGAACCCCGUCCGCCGUAAACUUAAGGGUUCCUGGGCAACGCAAAUCGUCCCAGGGUUAGUCGGGUGCUAAGGCGAGGCUGAAAGGCGUAGUCGAUGCAUAGCAGGUUAAUAUUCCUGCACUUUUUAUCACACUGAAGCGGGGACGCUUCGUGAAAUUUCCCGCGUCCUAUGGCUAUGACGUUGGGCGUAUUUAGGCGCGUGGCAGGCAAAUCCACCACGCUUGGUUUAAUCCAGAGCACGAAUAUGAUCGCAAGUUUUCUGGCAACAGGAAACAAGGGGAAAGAACACGGAGCCAAGAAAAGCCGCUAAGGCUAAUGUGAUAGAGACCCGUACCGUAAACCGACACAGGUGAGUGGGUGCGUAAUGCACUAAGGCGUACGAGAGAAACAUUGUUUAGGAACUCGGCAAAACAACGGCCGUAACUUCGGGAUAAGGCCUGGUUGCCCCUGUGAGGGGGCGACCCGCAGCGAAAGACUCCAAGCGACUGUUUACCAAAAACACAGGUCCCUGCAAAACUGCAAAGUGAAGUAUAGGGGCUGAUGCCUGGCCAGUGUCCGAACGUUAAGGAAGGGGGUUAGAUCCUUCGGGGUCAAAGCUUUCGACUGAAGCGCGGAUGAACGCCGGCGAUAACUAUAAUCGUCCUAAGGUGAAAUAAAAGCUGCCUUAGUGAGGUGAAUGACCUCUCAUUAUCGAACUGUGAUGCCUCACAGACGUAGAUAAAGAAAAAUUUGGCUAUAUGCUGGAACACCUCGUUCACUCUAUGGUAAAAUAUAACCAUAGUAUGAUAAAAAAACGAGACAAUCAGCAGGAAAGACUAGAAAUGGCGUGGUGGAUUUGCGGAUUUGUUGACGGAGAGGGUUGCUUCUCAGUCAGUUUGAUUCGAAACAAAACCACAAGCCUUGGAUGGCAGGUGUUUCCUGAGUUUGUUGUGACACAAGGUAUGAAAAGUCGAUCAAGUCUGGAACUCAUUCGUGAGUAUUUCGGAUGCGGUCAGAUUUAUCAGAACACUCGUCAUGAUAAUCACAGAGAACCAUUGCUAAAGUAUUGUGUAAGAUCGCAAGAAGAUCUUCGAGAGAAGAUUAUUCCGUUCUUCCAAAAAUACUCUUUGCAAACUUCAAAGAAAAAUGAUUUUGAACUCUUUGCUCAGCUCCUUCAAAUGAUGAAGGAAGGAACGCACAAGAAUCAUCAAGGUCAGAAAGAAAUUGCAAAGAUUAUCCAAUUGAUGAAUCGAAAAGUUCCAUCAAAAUUUCUGGAAUCCUCAGAGACUAUACGCCAGACUUCGAAACCUUCGAAGAAGAUAGAGUCCGACCUGCAUGGUGACAUGCAGAACGUGGCAGAAAUGACUACGUCGAUCAAUGGAUCGUAACAACAAAGAGCGAAAUUCCUUGACGGGUAAGUUCCGUCCUGCACGAAUGGCAUAACGACUUGGAGACUCUCUCAACAAUGUACUCGGCGAAAUUGCAAUGUGAGUGAAGAUGCUCACUUCCCGUGGUAAGACGAAAAGACCCCGUGAAGCUUUACUACAACUUGGUCUUGAUUUUAUGUUCCGCAUGUUCAGAAUAGGUGGGAGCCUUCGGGCACCAGUGAGAUACCACCCUUGCGUUGUGUAAAGUCUAACCACCUUCCGUGAAACCGGAGGGAGGGACAGGAUCUGGUGGGUAGUUUACCUGGGGCGGGUGCCUCCCAAAAUGUAACGGAGGCGUUUACAAAGGUUGGCUUGGCGCGGAUGGAAAUCGCGCUGGACGUGCAAACGCAGAAGCCAGCUUUACUGCAAGACUUACAAGUCGCGCAGUUGCGAAAGCAGAAGUUAGUGAUCCGACCGUACGAAAUAGGACGGCGGAAGCUCAUCGGAUAAAAGCUACUCCGGGGAUAACAGGCUAGUCACGCCCAAGCGUCCACAGCGACGGCGUGGUUCGGCACCUCGAUGUCGGCUCAUCGCAUCCUGGGGCUGUAGAAGGUCCCAAGGGUUUGGCUGUUCGCCAAUUAAAGCGGUACGCGAGCUGGGUUCAGAACGUCGUGAGACAGUUCGGUCUCCUAUCUACCAUGGGCGUCGAAGAUUGAUGGAAUCCAUCCUUAGUACGAGAGGACCGGGAUGGACGAACCUCUAGUGCACCAGUUGUCCUGCCAAGGGCAUCGCUGGGUAGCUACGUUCGGUUCGGAUAAACGCUGAAAGCAUCUAAGCGUGAAGCCGAUCCAAAGAUAAGUCUUCAUUUGAGACCCCUGCGAGACUAGCAGGUUGAUAGGCUGUAGGUGUAAGCAUCGUAAGAUGUUCAGCCGAGCAGUACUAAUAGGUCGAGCUCUACAAC